GAUGAACGCUGGCGGCGUGCCUAAUACAUGCAAGUCGAGCGAACAGAUAAGGAGCUUGCUCCUUUGACGUUAGCGGCGGACGGGUGAGUAACACGUGGGUAACCUACCUAUAAGACUGGGAUAACUUCGGGAAACCGGAGCUAAUACCGGAUAAUAUUUCGAACCGCAUGGUUCGAUAGUGAAAGAUGGUUUUGCUAUCACUUAUAGAUGGACCCGCGCCGUAUUAGCUAGUUGGUAAGGUAACGGCUUACCAAGGCGACGAUACGUAGCCGACCUGAGAGGGUGAUCGGCCACACUGGAACUGAGACACGGUCCAGACUCCUACGGGAGGCAGCAGUAGGGAAUCUUCCGCAAUGGGCGAAAGCCUGACGGAGCAACGCCGCGUGAGUGAUGAAGGUCUUCGGAUCGUAAAACUCUGUUAUUAGGGAAGAACAUACGUGUAAGUAACUGUGCACGUCUUGACGGUACCUAAUCAGAAAGCCACGGCUAACUACGUGCCAGCAGCCGCGGUAAUACGUAGGUGACAAGCGUUAUCCGGAAUUAUUGGGCGUAAAGCGCGCGUAGGCGGUUUUUUAAGUCUGAUGUGAAAGCCCACGGCUCAACCGUGGAGGGUCAUUGGAAACUGGAAAACUUGAGUGCAGAAGAGGAAAGUGGAAUUCCAUGUGUAGCGGUGAAAUGCGCAGAGAUAUGGAGGAACACCAGUGGCGAAGGCGACUUUCUGGUCUGCAACUGACGCUGAUGUGCGAAAGCGUGGGGAUCAAACAGGAUUAGAUACCCUGGUAGUCCACGCCGUAAACGAUGAGUGCUAAGUGUUAAGGGGUUUCCGCCCCUUAGUGCUGCAGCUAACGCAUUAAGCACUCCGCCUGGGGAGUACGACCGCAAGGUUGAAACUCAAAGGAAUUGACGGGGACCCGCACAAGCGGUGGAGCAUGUGGUUUAAUUCGAAGCAACGCGAAGAACCUUACCAAAUCUUGACAUCCUUUGACAACUCUAGAGAUAGAGCUUUCCCCUUCGGGGGACAAAGUGACAGGUGGUGCAUGGUUGUCGUCAGCUCGUGUCGUGAGAUGUUGGGUUAAGUCCCGCAACGAGCGCAACCCUUAAGCUUAGUUGCCAUCAUUAAGUUGGGCACUCUAAGUUGACUGCCGGUGACAAACCGGAGGAAGGUGGGGAUGACGUCAAAUCAUCAUGCCCCUUAUGAUUUGGGCUACACACGUGCUACAAUGGACAAUACAAAGGGCAGCGAAACCGCGAGGUCAAGCAAAUCCCAUAAAGUUGUUCUCAGUUCGGAUUGUAGUCUGCAACUCGACUACAUGAAGCUGGAAUCGCUAGUAAUCGUAGAUCAGCAUGCUACGGUGAAUACGUUCCCGGGUCU
rnacentral:rRNA from 1 species